AUAGGGUUGAGCUGAUCCCGUCUGGUAGUAAAGACACACAGAGGCUGCUCUGUGUCCUGACCACCUUCAGAGCAUUCAGGGUAUCUUUACUGCAAGCUGUAGACCACACAGGAGUGAUGUCUGCAGUGACUACACAGCCCCUCCCCUAUGGUGGCCUGGAGAGAGAGAAGCACAUUGAGACAUUCUUAAGGACGCUCAAUGGUCAGAGCAGGCCCGUCCGUAAUCCUCAAGGCUCGCCUAAAGCCCCGCCCCGCCAAGAGCCCCCUGAUGGGGGGUCAGAGAGGGUCCUUUCAGGGCUGGCUACUGGGAGACCCUGGGAGAACGGCAUUGGGCUUCAGCAGAGGAACAGACUGAGUGAAGAAGAGGAAGAUGGUCUUCAGCUAGACCCCAUGGCUGCCUUGGAGUCAGCAAGCCAACUGCAUGUCACAGCCGGGCCUGACCUGCAAGGUCCACAAUGUGUUCCCAGAAGGAUCUACAGCAUUUCCACCGGGGGAAGCAGCGAGCAACUGUUUGUGACUGUAGAAGAGAGUUCUUGUAUGUGCCUUCAGUGUUGUGGCCCAGCUCGUUCCUGCUCCCUGCAAGGUUUCGACCGCCAGGGCCAACGGCUCUUUUAUUUUGAAAGGCCCCUCAGGGUGGAUGCCUGCUGCCUAGGCUGCUGCCUUAUGGAAAUGAGGGCCUACUCCCAUCAGGACCUCCUCCUUGGCACCGUACGACAGAGGUGGAGUAUGUUCACUCCUCUGCUGGAGGUGUGCGACUCAGAGGGAACUCCUACCACCAGGAUCCUAGGCCCCUGUUGGCCCUCACGCUGCGCUGCCACCCAGCAGUUCCAGGCAAGGCCUUUACCACUAAUCUCAUCAAUUACAAUUGUAUAUUUAGUGGAUGCUUCUAUCCAUCCUAGUAUGAUUAUAUCCAUUUCUGAAAAAUUAAUUGUCUAAAUUGACUGACUCUACAGCAAUAUUUGAUCCAUCCAUGAGAGCAAUCUUCCUAACCGAUUCAUGUUGCACCAUUACCUCAAAUCAAACCCUAGGCAGUCUCAUUGAUGGGGGAGAGAAUUGGCACAAUAUGGAAGAGAUGGCCGGGCUUCAACAAUGAGUUUAACAUGGACCACGAGUACUUUGGGCUGGAGAUGCUGCAGAAUAUGGACUCGUCUACCAAGUUGCUUCUGCUAGCCGCUACCUUCUUAUUGAAUUACAUGUUCUUCGAGAUGAGUUGAUCAGAGAUUCGGCUAUCUAUUGCUUCACCACUAAAGCGACAUCUGACUGUUGGUGCUGAAGGAGCCAAGACGUCAGCCGAACAGAGUCUUCACUGCAACCACUUACUUGAAAAAAAACCCGUUAGGAGAAAGAAUCACAAUAGCCGAGAGGUUAUAGCAGCAGAUGCAUAUUUGACAUUUAUUGCUAUAAUCCAUCAGGUGUACAUCAGACAAUACGUUUCCUCUUUUGUUUUUGACACACACCUGAUCCGAGCACCACGUAUCCAAUCCUAGGCAGCAUUACAGUUUAACGCACAAAACAAACUCUGAAAUUCUGUAAAAACAAAUUAAAGAUUCAGAUGGAUUGGUGGAAAAACUGUAACGGGGGUGGAGGAGUCCCAAGCCCCUGCUCCUAGUUUCAAAUCCUCAGUACAAAAGGACAACCAUGGGAGGGGUCUGGUGGGAUCAGUCCACCGCCAGGGCCCCUGUUCAUCCAUCCCGUGCGUGUGAAAGGACGGCACAGCGGGGGCCCCGGCUCCAAGGACCCUUUAGCCACACAGAAGGUAGGAGGUUAUGAGAACCUGGUCAGCGGGCGCAGGCCCCAGGUCAGGCACAGUGAUAUAGGCAGCUUUGACAGUCCCUUCCAUAGACGCCUACGACACAGAACCUUCCAGACUCUCUGCCAGACUCGUUUAUCUUUUUUUUAUCCUUUAGGAGUCAUCGUCCAGGGGUUAAGACGGACAAGGAGAAGAAACUUAGUUUCUGAUUCCAAAAGGGCGAAUCUCUACAGUGGUCAGUUGUUUUUUCGUUUUUACAAAUAUAUUUUUGUAGACAAAUAAUAUUUCUAGUUCAAAUAACCAGAUGUUUCAUAGUUAAAAUAAAGUACUAUAAUAAAAUAACACCUGCGAUCUGGUUCGUCUCAGAUUGCUAAUAAAACUGUCUCUGUAAUUUACUUAAAUUUUGACAAAGGGCACGUGUGAUUGUUUUACACAAUAAAACUGUAUCGGUUUUACAUCACUGAUCAGCUUAUGUUGUAUACAUAGAAACCCUAGUCAAGUACUCUUCUUUUGUUGGCCAGCUCAACAAACGUGUCCCACAGGCUCCCUCUAGUGGUGAGCAAGGGCAGUUGCACUACGCAUUUCUUUAAAUAAAAAGACACACACACACACACACACACACACACACACACACACACACACACACACACACACACACACACACACACACACACACACA